AUUAUGUUAUACUCUUAUAUUGCGUGAAUGUAUGGUUCCUGGUGUUAAUUUAUAUGAUGUAUAUCUUUACCGAGUCAAAUGCUCAAUUCUAUUUAUCUAUUUUUCAAAUUAUGGUUUUACUUAACUAUUCUAGCCCAGAUGCAUCUAUUUUCACACAUCCAAAGUCCAGAUACAUGCAUGAAUAAGAAAGAGUGUGAUCACUCCCUUGUGCAAG
rnacentral:misc_RNA from 1 species